UAUCUAUAAAACAAUGACACUAAAUAGUACAGUCACAAAAUUCACAUUUUUUUAAAUCUAUUUUUCACAGGUUUUUGCCUGCAAUAUGAGUUUUGUUAUACUUACAGACACCAUUCAAACUGUUUUAGAAAAUUCAGAGUGUUUUCUAUCCGAAUGUGUUAAUAAUAUGCAUAUCUUAGCUUCUGAGUUGGUGUAGGAGGCAGUUAAAAAUGGGCCCAUAUUUUUUUCAAAAUUUCUCAAUACUGCCCCCGAGCCCCAACAGGUUUUAAACAGCGUUUGACAUGCUUCGAAGUACGGUAAUGGAAUAUUUUGAUUUUUUUUGUCACGAAACCCGCCGGGCGCGUCACCCUUCUUUACCCUUCGGAUAGUGUCUUGAACGCACGAACAAAACGCCGCUAUUUGGAUAUAACUAUGGAUUAUUUGGAACCAAACCAACAUUUGUUAUUGAAGUAGAAGUCCUGGGAGUGCAUUCUGAUGAAGAACAGCAAAGGUAAUCCAAUUUUUGUUAUAGUAAAUCUGAGUUUGGUGAGUACCACACUUGGUGGGUGUCAAAAUAGCUAGCCCGUGAUGGCCGGGCUAUCUACUCAGGAAUUUGGAAAAUGUGCUUUUUCCUUUAUGCAAUCGGACAUAGCGAUUGCAUAAAGGAGUUCUGUAUCUAUAAUUCUUAAAAUAAUUGUUAUGUUUUUUGUGAACGUUUAUCGUGAGUAAUUUAGUAAAUUCACCGGAAGUGUUCGGUGGGAAUGCUAGUCACAUGCUAAUGUAAAAAGCUGGUUUUUGAUAUAAAUAUGAACUUGAUUGAACAAAACAUGCAUGUAUUGUAUAACAUAAUGUCCUAGGAGUGUCAUCUGAUGAAGAUCAUCAAAGGUUAGUGCUGCAUUUAGCUGCGGUUUUGUUUUUUGUGACAUUAUAUGCUAGCUUGAAAAAUGGGUGUCUGAUUAUUUCUGUCUGGGUACUCUGCUGACAUAAUCUAAUGUUUUGCUUUCGUUGUAAAGCCUUUUUGAAAUCGGACAGUGUGGUUAGAUUAACGAGAGUCUUGUCUUUUAAAAUGGUGUAAAAUAGUCAUAUGUUUGAGAAAUCGAAGUAAUAGCAUUUCUAAGGUAUUUAAAUAUCGCGCCACGGGAUUCCACUGGCUGUUGAGUAGGUGGGACGCAAGCGUCCCACCUAGCCCAUAGAGGUUAACUAAAUAUGCAGGUUUAAGAAUAUAAAGCAUUGAUGUUUAUGGUUAGGUACAUUGGUGCAACGACAGUGUUUUUUUCUCAAAUGCGCUUGUUAAAUCAACACUCGUUUGGCGAAAUAGGCUGUGAUUCAAUAAUAAAUUAACAGGCACCGCAUCGAUUAUAUGCAACGCAGGACAGAUAAACUAGUAAUAUCAUCAACCAUGUGUAGUUAACUAGUGAUUAUGUUAAGAUUGAUAGUUUUUUAUAAGAUAAGUUUAAUGCUAGCUAGCAACUUACCUUGGCUUCUUGCUGCCCUCGCACAACAGGUAGUCAGCCUGCCAUGCAGGCUCCUCGUGCGUUGGAUUGGAUUAGUAACCGGAAGGUUGCAAGAACGAUUCCGCGAAUCCCUCCUGAACAAGGCAGUUAACCCCCGUUCCUAGGCCGUCAUUGAAAAUAAGAAUGUGUUCUUAAUCUGACUUGCCUAGUUAAAUAAAGGUGUAAACAAAAAAAAGUAUUUAAAAAAAAUCGGCAAAUCGGUGGCCAAAAAUACCGAUUAUCGAUUGUUAUGAAAACUUGAAAUCGGCCCUAAUUAAUCGCCCAUUCCGAUUAAUCGGUCGACCUCUAGUCUCAUGUGCCCUCAUCGACUGGCACAUUGAAUGUUUCCUCUCUAGGCACUUGUGUUUUCUUUUGUCUUCCCAGUCAAAUCCUGUCCAGCACUAAAGUCAAGCCUCUGAACACCUCAACUCAUGCCUCAUACCCUCAUUCAAUCACUACUGUGAUCCUUUCCCAACAAUGUACAGCCGUUACAGAAUUACCCACCAACAACGGACCAAGCAGCAGAGGAAGGAGCAGCACAAGGAGAGGCACCAGGAGAAAGGCUAUCUGGAGUCAUGGACUUGGGAGGAAAUCCUGGACGGGAAAGGACCAUGGACUCAAGCUGGGGAUUAUCGCCGCCCACAGUGGGAGAUCGAGGCGGCGAGAGCUGAGAGGCGCUGGUAUGAGGAGAGGGAGCGCAACGGACACGGGAGGCAGCCCCACAAUUUUUUUGGGGGGGGCACACGGGGAGAUUGGCGGAGUCAGGUGGUAGACCUAAGCCAACUCCCCGUGCUUACCGGAAGCAGCGUGGUACUGGUAAGACACCGUGUUAUGCUGUGGAGUGCACGGUGUCCCCAGUGCGCGUUCAAAGCCCGGUGCGCUACAUACCAGCCCCCCGCAAGUGCCAUGCGAGUGCAGGCAUCGAGCCAGGACGGAUGGUGCCAGCUCAGCGCGUCUGGUCUCCAGUGCGCCUCCUCGGUCCAGGUUAUCCUGCGCCGGCGUUGUGCACUGUGUCUCCAGAGCGCUGGGAGAGUCCAGUUCGCCCAAUGCCUGCUCUCCGCCCGUGCCGGGCCAAAGUGGGCAUUCAGCCUGGAGUGUGGGUAAAGAGUGUCCGUACCAGAACUCCAGUGCUCCCCCACAGCCCGGUUUAUCCUGUGCCUCCUCCUCGGACCAGGCCUCCAGUGGGUCUCCCCAUCCUGGUCCAUCCUGUGUCACCUCCCAGGACUAGGCCUCCAGUGGGUCUCCCCAUCCUGGUCCGUCCUGUGCCACCUCCCAGGACUAGGCCUCCAGUGGGUCUCACCUGUCCAGAGCAGUCAGAGCUGCCCGCCAGUCAACAGUCGUCAGAGCUGCCCGCCAGUCAACAGUCGUCAGAGCUGCCCGCCAGUCAACAGUCGUCAGAGCUGCCCGCCAGUCAACAGUCGUCAGAGCUGCCCACCAGUCAACAGUCGUCAGAGCUGCCCGCCAGUCAACAGUCGUCAGAGCUGCCCGCCAGUCAACAGUCGCCAGAGCAGACUGCGCUGAACUGCCGGAGUGGCCAGACUGCCCUGAACUGCCGGAGUGGCCAGACUGCCCUAAACUGCCGGAGUGGCCAGACUGCCCUGAACUGCCGGAGUGGCCAGACUGCCCAGAACUGCC
rnacentral:lncRNA from 1 species